rnacentral:misc_RNA from 1 species
GUCCUUCCUCGGUGGUUGGAGCUCUCAGCGCUGUACCAGGGUCUCUUGUAGUUGCCUCUAACUCAACCAGAUAGUCCUUGUUUACUCCAGAAAUAUGCCAGUAUCCCCAUGGUGUGACCUCCCAGCUCACUGUACCGUUCCAUGGCACAAAUUCGUAGAAAGUUCCUUCGUAAUGUACUCCAAUCAAGGCAGCACUUUCAUAGUUAUCGGCCAAUCCAGAUAGUUUCCUCAGGCCACCACCUGAAGUCAAUGCAACUUCUCCUGAAGCACCUUCAAAAACAUUACACUGAACCCAAAACCAUUUCCUGGGAAAUCCUCCGCCCCAAUUCUUUUCUGAAUAAGAUGGAGCGUUUUCAAAUUCAAAACGUUCUCCGUCCCAUUCUAUCCAGCCUGUUGAAAGACCGCCUGCCAUGCAUAUUUGCCAAUGAGGUUCAAAUACUGCAAAAGCAGCAAGCCAUCCUGCUGUUGACUUUUGCUUAGACUUAACAUCACCCCAACCAUAAAUCGGGCG